rnacentral:rRNA from 1 species
UACAGAGGGGGCAAGCGUUGUUCGGAAUUACUGGGCGUAAAGGGUUUGUAGGUGGCUUGCUAAGUCAGACGUGAAAUCCCUCGGCUUAACUGGGGAACUGCGUCUGAGACUGGCAAGCUUGAGUGCAGGAGAGGAACGCGGAAUUCCAGGUGUAGCGGUGAAAUGCGUAGAUAUCUGGAGGAACACCGGUGGCGAAGGCGGCGUUCUGGACUGCAACUGACACUGAGGAACGAAAGCCAGGGGAGCAAACGGG